rnacentral:rRNA from 1 species
GAUAGGCUAAUUAAGAGCGUAUGGGGAAUGCCUAGGCUCUCAGAGGCGAUGAAGGACGUGAUAAGCUGCGAAAAGCUACGGGGAGUGGCACAUACACUGUGAUCCGUAGAUAUCCGAAUGGGGCAACCCAAUACUUUGAAGAAGUAUUAUCCGAAAGGAAGCAAACCCGGAGAACUGAAACAUCUAAGUAUCCGGAGGAGAAGAAAACAAUAGUGAUUCCGUUAGUAGUGGCGAGCGAAAGCGGAACAGCCC